rnacentral:rRNA from 1 species
CCUACGGGCGACAGCAGUGAGGAAUAUUGGUCAAUGGGCGGAAGCCUGAACCAGCCAAGUAGCGUGCAGGAUGACGGCCCUACGGGUUGUAAACUGCUUUUAUACGGGAAUAACGCGCCUUACGUGUAGGGCUUUGCAUGUACCGUAUGAAUAAGGACCGGCUAAUUCCGUGCCAGCAGCCGCGGUAAUACGGAAGGUCCGGGCGUUAUCCGGAUUUAAUGGGUUUAAAGGGAGCGUAGGCCGCAUGUCAAGCGUGCUGUGAAAUGUCCGGGCUCAACCCGGGCCUUGCAGCGCGAACUGGCGUGCUUGAGUCCGCGGAAAGCAGGCGGCAUUCGUCGUGUAGCGGUGAAAUGCUUAGAUAUGACGAAGAACCCCGAUUGCGAAGGCAGCUUGCUGCAGCGGAACUGACGCUGAUGCUCGAAAGCGCGGGUAUCGAACAGGAUUAGAUACCCCAGUAGUC